rnacentral:rRNA from 1 species
UAGGGAAUAUUGCACAAUGGAGGAAACUCUGAUGCAGCCAUGCCGCGUGUGUGAAGAAGGCCUUCGGGUUGUAAAGCACUUUCAGAGGGGAGGAGAAUGACGUUACCCUCAGAAGAAGCACCGGCUAACUCCGUGCCAGCAGCCGCGGUAAUACGGAGGGUGCAAGCGUUAAUCGGAAUAACUGGGCGUAAAGGGCAUGCAGGCGGUUAUGCAAGCAGGAUGUGAAACCCCCGGGCUUAACCUGGGAACUGCAUUCUGAACUACAUGACUAGAGUAUUGCAGGGGGAGACGGAAUUCCAGGUGUAGCGGUGGAAUGCGUAGAUAUCUGGAAGAACACCAAAGGCGAAGGCAGUCUCCUGGGCAAAUACUGACGCUCAUAUGCGAAAGCGUGGGUAGCAAACAGGAUUAGAUACCCUGGUAGU